UCUGGUUCUAGUCAUCUUUAGGUGUAAAUUUAAAGGAACACUAGUGUCUGAAAUACAAACAUCUAUUCGUGACAUAGUGCUAAACUAUCCCCCCCAGUCGCAUCUUUUUUCUCCAUGGCAGUCUCCACCUGGGUGAGAUUAUGAAUCUUGAUCUCAACCAAUCAAAUGUUUUCACACAGGAAAGCAUUGGGAGGAUAUAGUGCAACUGCUCAUAGAGAUACAUUUAAUCAAUGAAUCUUUAUGAAAG